rnacentral:rRNA from 1 species
UGAAUACGAGAUGCUACGGCGUCGAAGCAGUGUAUGUCAGACUUCCAAGAAAAGCUCGCAAUGUCAUAAAUAAAUAAUGCCUGUACCAUAACCGACACAGGUGGGUAGGUAGAGUAUACUAAGGGGCGCGAGAUAACUCUCUCUAAGGAACUCGGCAAAAUAACUCCGUAACUUCGGGAGAAGGAGUGCCUUAUUUAUAAGGUUGCAAUAACAAGAUCCAAGCAACUGUUUAUCAGAAACACAGGUCUCCGCUAAGUCGUAAGACGAUGUAUGGGGGCUGACGCCUGCCCAGUGCCAGAAGGUUAAAGAAGUUGGUUAGCAUUGCGAAGCUGAUGACUGAAGCCCUGGUGAACGGCGGCCGUAACAAUAACGGUCCUAAGGUAGCGAAAUUCCUUGUCGGGUAAGUUCCGACCCGCACGAAAGGCGUAAUGAUUUGGAUACUGUCUCGGAGAGGGACUCGGUGAAAUAGACUUGUCUGUGAAGAUGCGGACUACCUGCACCAGGACAGAAAGACCCUAUGAAGCUUUACUGUAACUUGAAAUUGAAAUUGGACUUUAUUUGCGCAGUAUAGGUGGGAGGCGUUGAAAAUAAUCUCGCGGGAUUAUUGGAGCCAUCAGUGAGAUACCACUCCUAUAAUGUUAGAUUUCUAACUUUGUAUCAUUAUCUGGUCAAAGAACAGUUUCAGGCGGGCAGUUUGACUGGGGCGGUCGCCUCCUAAAUGGUAACGGAGGCGUACAAAGGUUUCCUCUGAACGGGUAGAAAUCGUAUCUAGAGUAUAAAGGCAUAAGGAAGCUUGACUGUGAGACCUACAAGUCGAGCAGGGACGAAAGUCGGUCUUAGUGAUCUGACGGUGCUGAGUGGAAAGGCCGUCACUCAACGGAUAAAAGUUACUCUAAGGAUAACAGGCUGAUCUCCCCCAAGAGUUCACAUCGACGGGGAGGUUUGGCACCUCGAUGUCGGCUCAUCGCAUCCUGGGGCGGUAGUACGUCCCAAGGGUUGGGCUGUUCGCCCAUGAAAGCGGUACGCGAGCUGGGUUCAGAACGUCGUGAGACAGUUCGGUCCAUAUCCGGUGUAGGCGUUAGAAUAUUGAGAGGAGCCUUCUUUAGUACGAGAGGACCGAGAAGGACAUACCUCUGGUGUACCAGUUAUCGUGCCAACGGUAAACGCUGGGUAGCUAUGUAUGGAGUGGAUAACCGCUGAAAGCAUCUAAGUGGGAAGCCCACCUCAAGAUGAGUAUCCCC